CUACGGGUUGCAGCAGUGGGGAAUUUUGCGCAAUGGGGGAAACCCUGACGCAGCGACGCCUCGUGAAUGAUGAAGUCUUUAGGGAUGUAAAGUUCUGUCAGCAGGGAAGAUUAUGACGGUACCUGCAGAGGAAGCUCCGGCUAACUACGUGCCAGCAGCCGCGGUAAUAGGUAGGGAGCAAGCGUUGUCCGGAUUUAUUGGGCGUAAAGAGUGCGUAGGCGGUUUAGUAAGUUGGAUGUUAAAGCCAUGGGCUUAACUCAUGUUUGCAUCCAAAACUGCUAAACUAGAGGAUAAGAGAGGAAAGCGGAACUCACAGUGUAGCGGUGAAAUGCGUAGAUAUUGUGAGGAACACCGGUGGCGAAGGCGGCUUUCUGGAUUAUUUCUGACGCUGAGGUACGAAAGCGUGGGUAGCAAACAGGAUUAGAUACCCGGGUAGUC
rnacentral:rRNA from 1 species